rnacentral:rRNA from 1 species
ACGAACGCUGGCGGCGUGCUUAACACAUGCAAGUCGAACGGAAAGGCCCUGCUUUUGUGGGGUGCUCGAGUGGCGAACGGGGGAGAAACACGUGAGUAACCUGCCCUUGACUUUGGAUUAAUUCAGGAAAACGGGGGUAAAAACCGAUAGGAACUCCCGGCUGCUGGGGGGGGGUGGGAAGGUUCGGCGGUUGGGGGUGGACUCGCGGCUUAUCAGCUUGUUGGUGGGGUAGUGGCUUACCAAGGCUUUGACGGGUAGCCGGCCUGAGAGGGUGACCGGCCACAUUGGGACUGAGAUACGGCCCAGACUCCUACGGGAGGCAGCAGUGGGGAAUAUUGCACAAUGGGCGGAAGCCUGAUGCAGCAACGCCGCGUGCGGGAUGACGGCCUUCGGGUUGUAAACCGCUUUCGCCUGUGACGAAGCGUGAGUGACGGUAAUGGGUAAAGAAGCACCGGCUAACUACGUG